UACGGGGGAGCAAGCGUUGUUCGGAUUUACUGGGCGUAAAGGGCGCGUAGGCGGUCGUGACAAGUCACUUGUGAAAUCUCCGGGCUUAACUCGGAAACGGUCAAGUGAUACUGUCGGACUAGAGUACAGAAGGGGCAACUGGAAUUCUCGGUGUAGCGGUGAAAUGCGUAGAUAUCGAGAGGAACACCUGCGGCGAAAGGCGGGUUGCCUGGGCGUGAUGACUGACGCUGGAGGCGACGAAAGCCAGGGAGGCGAACGGGG
rnacentral:rRNA from 1 species